UCACACGCAUGUGGGUGGAAACUCUGGGGUGGGUUCACGCUGAAGAACACAAAUCAUAUAAAUACUUUGGUAAAAUAAAUCCGAUGAUACUGAGAGCUGCUUUAUCAUGGAGUUCGAUCUGGGCUCAGCUGUUUGAGGUGAAGAAGGAGAGCUAAAGAAGGCAGAGGGCCAAGAGGUGGAGGGCAUCUUUGGUUUUGGAAAAAAAGACAAGGACAAAGAGAAGGAGAAAGAAGAUAAAGAUAAAGAGAGCAAAGACAAAGAACUCAAAGAUAAAGAAUGCACAGACAAGAGUGAUUGCAAAGAAAAAGACAAAGAGAAGGAGAAGACUAAAAACAAAGACAAGAAGAAAGACAAAGAACACAAAAAGGGUCACGGACACGGCCAUGGUCAUGGACGUGGACACGGUCGGGGACGUGGUCGGGGUCACAGGUCUUCAUCUUCAUCCAGUGAUGAGGAUUAAACCAUGACUGAAGACUUCUCACACGGGGAAGUUGCUACACCUUACUAAUUAUGAAGUUUUGAAUCAUAAUACAGAAAAGUUCAUUGAGCGGCAGGUUUUUAUUGUGACGACUUGCCUCACAUAAUGUUGACAGCUUACCCUGCUUUAGGUCAAUGUUAGGUCAACAUGUUUUAAAAGUGUAUAAGGGUGAAAAUGUUUAGUAGGUUUGUGUCUGUACAGAAACUGACAUUCAAAACUGAACAUUUCCUGAGAAAUAUUAUUACAAUUUUGGGACAACUAGCCCUGGUCUCCCUUGUUUUCAAUACUCAAUUCAAUUUAUAUAGCGCUUUUUUUUUUACAAUUUUCAUUGUUACAAAGCAGCUGUACAUGAGACAUAUUGACUAUAAGCAAAACAAUUAAAGUUAUACCUGUAAAAACAAGAAAAAUGUGAAAACACAGACGACAGACAUACAAACGCUCCCCGCACACAUAGAUGCACACACACAGACGCGCACGCACGCACACAGAGUGUCAUGUUUCUCGGGUGGGUGAGGUGAGAGACAGAGGACCCAAGUGCAGACAGGAGGUAAGGGGUUAUACAAGACUUUAAUAAUAUAUAGUUACAAAACAAAAACCCACGAUGGGGAACAUAACAAAACAUGGAAACAGGAACAAGGACUAAAUAAACUAAGAUAACAACACUUGACAUUAACCACAAUAAACUAGACUAACUACAGGUCAGGACAGGACAUGACAUGACAGGAACUCACCCACAUGACACAAGCACGACACAACAAUGCAAUGACACAAGCACGACACAACAAUGCAAUGACACAAGCACGACACAACAAUGCAAUGACACAAGCACGACACAGCAAUGCAAUGAUCCAGCACAAGACAGAGGACACAGGGGCAUUAAAUAAGGGGACAAAUCAAGAGGGAACAGGUGUGGGGCAUGAAACCAAUAACGAGCAAUUAAGGAUACGAAAUGGCGGGAACAGAGACGGGACACCGGAGAGAAAGAGAAUGUGGAAGGCCAAGUGGGCCAAAACUUCUCUCUCCACGUAAAACAAGAGGUUCUGUCAUGGUUCUGCCACUAGCUCAAGAAAAGCAAGACAAGAUGGGGCAGAACCAUGACACAGAGACAAGCACGCACACACACAGACACGCACGCACAGUGAAAGCACACAUUUAAGAUAAAGGAGAGAGAAAAACAGGUCAAAUUUUAAACAGACUAUAAAUUCCUAUAUGCAAUAUUAAUUACGUAGAACCUUAAAGUUCUAAUUCUAAAGUACACCAUAAACAUCACGUAAAAUGUGUUACAAUUAAAUUUUAAGACUGUGUGAAUGAUGUAAAUAUUUUAAAAUGUGUCUAUAUUUGUAAUAAUACUAUAAAUAUAAGUUAUAAUAUUUAUAUAUUACAGUUUUUUUCAAUCAUUUUGUCACCAAUUUCAGAACCUUGAUGUCAUUUUUCAAAACUAUAGACACAAAAUUCACAACCGAUGAUCAAAAUGCACAUUUUUCAAAACUCUUAAAACUUGCUUCGAUACAAUACUCACAAACCAAAUAUUAUCUGGUCAUUGAGCUAAAACCACCUGAUCAAAAUGACACAGCUUAACAUCAAUGUAUUCCCAUUUCAAAAUGCAAUUCAAACAUUACAUCUGAUGUGACUGUCUGUUCAUUACAUUACAAUGAUCUAACUGUCAAUUGAUAAAAUCUGCAAAAUGAUAAGCAACGACUGCUUUAUUUUUAAUGCAUAGUUUUUAUGAACUGAGGAACAACUUGGCACAUUUAGAACAUGACAUUUUCAGGAUAACUAGAUAAAUUGACACCAAUUACCAAAGAACAUGGCCCAGCUGGACACCAUUAUUAUAGAUGUAGUAUUUCAACAUCAUUCUUUAUCAAACAUAGUUUCUAUGGUCUGAUGCACCAUUUUUUACAGACCACAUUUUUAUACUUGACAUAUACUUGAGUGGGUGAACGUGGAAGAGGACAAGAUCACAGACCUAGACACCGGCAACAGCAUAGGGCUUCUAAUGAAAUAAGAAAUAUAUAGUUGUAGACUAUUUCAUUAAUCACGGCAUGACAAUGAGUGAGGCAGCUACAACAAUUUAACCAAAUCUCAGAAGAUCAACUGUGGCCUCAAUCAUCAGAACUUUCCAGAAUGAGAACCGGUACGUCUUCAGAAUGCACUAAACAUUAAGCAUCUUUCAACUGUCAAAUGACUGUAUGCAGCACUGCAGUGUACCACAGUAUGUAAUGGGAUUACUGUAAAUUUGUUCUUGCUGUGACUUUGCCCCUGCAGAAUAGAGACUAGGCCAAAUAGAGGUGGCAGAAGCAAAAUUCUGACUGACCAACAAAAGCAGGCUGUUGUCAAUUUGGUUCGGUGGUUCGGCUGUGGUUCAAAUCCGGCAGCACAUCUUGGACAAUAAUGACCUUUUCAACAAUGUGGAAGCCAUAAGAUUGCCAACUAUUGCCCGUGUGCUGAAAAGACAUCGGGUGUCUUUAAAACCGCUAUACCGGGUGACUUUUGAAAGAAAUGCAGAUCGAGUGAAACAACUGAGGAUUGUGUAUGUUUAGGUUUACAGUAAGAUGACUAUUGUGUGUGUGUUGGGAGAUCCUCAAAACUCAGUCAUUGUAAUCAGUCAUUGUGUUUUAGCUGUAAUGAUCUUUUUAGAGGGUGAUGGAGCUGGAAGCUGAUGAAAACCAUCACAAAUUCAUAUUUUUGGAUGAGGCUUUACUGUAAUCUGGCCAAAACAAGGAGAAGAGGUCGGAAUAUAAUUGGCCAGCGAGCAACCAUCCAAGUACCUGGACAACGUGGAGCCAACAUCACAAUGAGUGUGGCAAUAUCGGAAGAUGGUGUGGUAGGACGCAGACCUCUUGUUGGGUCUUACAAUAUAAUGCACAUCUUCUUGUAGACUUCCUUGAUGAGCUAAAUCAGGUUUGUAGAGCUGAUGGUGUGACCUAUGUAAUCGUCUGGGAUAAUAUUCAGUUUCACCAUGCUCGAAUGGUGCAGGCAUGGUUUCAGGCCCAUCGGCAAUUUGUCACAUUGUAUUUACUGCCAUACUUCCCUUUCCUAAACCCAAUAGAGGAAUUGUUCUUCACAUGGAGGUGGAAGGUAUAUGAUAGGCACCAUCAUGAACAAGUCACUCUUCUCCAGGCCAUGGAUGAUGCUUGCAAUGACAUCAUGGCAGACCAAUGUCCGGCUUGGAUUAGCCAUGCCAGGAGAUUUUUCCCUAGAUGUCUAGCUAAUGAAAAUAUCCAGUGCGAUGUGGAUGAGAACCUGUGGCCAAAUCCACAAGAAAGGCGUGAUGAAAACAUAGACGUGCAGUGAGGAGCACUCCAGAUGACAUUUUCCUGUUGUGUAGUUUUGCUUUUGAACACUUUUGCUUGCUUUUUUAUUGCUUUCAAACUUUCAAUUUCUGGAGAAAAAAUGUUGUGAUUGUUUCAUUACUGUAAUAAACAGUUUGUUCAAUGAC